rnacentral:rRNA from 1 species
GACGAACGCUGGCGGCGUGCUUAACACAUGCAAGUCGAACGGAAAGGCCCUGCUUGCAGGGUACUCGAGUGGCGAACGGGUGAGUAACACGUGGGUGAUCUGCCCUGCACUUCGGGAUAAGCCUGGGAAACUGGGUCUAAUACCGGAUAGGAGCCAUUUUUAGUGUGAUGGUUGGAAAGUUUUUUCGGUGUAGGAUGAGCUCGCGGCCUAUCAGCUUGUUGGUGGGGUAAUGGCCUACCAAGGCGGCGACGGGUAGCCGGCCUGAGAGGGUGGACGGCCACAUUGGGACUGAGAUACGGCCCAGACUCCUACGGGAGGCAGCAGUGGGGAAUAUUGCACAAUGGGCACAAGCCUGAUGCAGCGACGCCGCGUGGGGGAUGACGGCCUUCGGGUUGUAAACUCCUUUCGCUAGGGACGAAGCUUUUUGUGACGGUACCUAGAGAAGAAGCACCGGCUAACUACGUG